GACGAACGCUGCGGCGUGCUUAACACCUGCAAGUCGAACGGAAAGGCCCUGCUUGCAGGGUACUCGAGUGGCGAACGGGUGAGUAACACGUGGGUGAUCUGCCCUGCACUUCGGGAUAAGCCUGGGAAACUGGGUCUAAUACCGGAUAGGAGCCAUUUUUAGUGUGAUGGUUGGAAAGUUUUUUCGGUGUAGGAUGAGCUCGCGGCCUAUCAGCUUGUUGGUGGGGUAAUGGCCUACCAAGGCGGCGACGGGUAGCCGGCCUGAGAGGGUGGACGGCCACAUUGGGACUGAGAUACGGCCCAGACUCCUACGGGAGGCAGCAGUGGGGAAUAUUGCACAAUGGGCGCAAGCCUGAUGCAGCGACGCCGCGUGGGGGAUGACGGCCUUCGGGUUGUAAACUCCUUUCGCUAGGGACGAAGCUUUUUGUGACGGUACCUAGAUAAGAAGCACCGGCUAACUACGUG
rnacentral:rRNA from 1 species